rnacentral:rRNA from 1 species
ACGAACGCUGGCGGCGUGCCUAAUACAUGCAAGUCGAACAGUCUUUCUAUGGAAGCUUGCUUCCACUGAGAAGAUAGUGGCGAACGGGUGAGUAACACGUGGGUAACCUGCCCAUAAGAGGGGGAUAACAUCCGGAAACGGGUGCUAAUACCGCAUAGUUUUCUUGAUCGCAUGAUUGAGAAAGGAAAGACGGCCUUUGUGCUGUCGCUUAUGGAUGGACCCGCGGCGUAUUAGUUAGUUGGUGAGGUAAUGGCUCACCAAGACGAUGAUACGUAGCCGACCUGAGAGGGUGAUCGGCCACAUUGGGACUGAGACACGGCCCAAACUCCUACGGGAGGCAGCAGUAGGGAAUCUUCCGCAAUGGACGAAAGUCUGACGGAGCAACGCCGCGUGAGUGAAGAAAGGUUUUCGGAUCGUAAAACUCUGUUGUCAGAGAAGAACAAGUUGGAGAGUAACUGCUCCAGCCUUGACGGUAUCUGACCAGAAAGCUACGGCUAACUACGUGCCAGCCGCAGC